UCCGUAGGUGAACCUGCGGAAGGAUCAUUACCGAGUGAGGGCCCUCUGGGUCCAACCUCCCACCCGUGUUUAUUUUACCUUGUUGCUUCGGCGGGCCCGCCUUAACUGGCCGCCGGGGGGCUCACGCCCCCGGGCCCGCGCCCGCCGAAGACACCCUCGAACUCUGUCUGAAGAUUGAAGUCUGAGUGAAAAUAUAAAUUAUUUAAAACUUUCAACAACGGAUCUCUUGGUUCCGGCAUCGAUGAAGAACGCAGCGAAAUGCGAUACGUAAUGUGAAUUGCAAAUUCAGUGAAUCAUCGAGUCUUUGAACGCACAUUGCGCCCCCUGGUAUUCCGGGGGGCAUGCCUGUCCGAGCGUCAUUGCUGCCCUCAAGCCCGGCUUGUGUGUUGGGCCCCGUCCUCCGAUCUCCGGGGGACGGGCCCGAAAGGCAGCGGCGGCACCGCGUCCGGUCCUCGAGCGUAUGGGGCUUUGUCACCCGCUCUGUAGGCCCGGCCGGCGCUUGCCGAUCAACCCAAAUUUUUAUCCAGGUUGACCUCGGAUCAGGUAGGGAUACCCGCUGAACUUAAGCAUAUCAAUAAGCGGAGGA
rnacentral:rRNA from 2 species